rnacentral:rRNA from 1 species
GACGAACGCUGGCGGCGUGCUUAACACAUGCAAGUCGAACGGAAAGGCCCUGCUUUUGUGGGGUGCUCGAGUGGCGAACGGGUGAGUAACACGUGAGUAACCUGCCCUUGACUUUGGGAUAACUUCAGGAAACUGGGGCUAAUACCGGAUAGGAGCUCCUGCUGCAUGGUGGGGGGUGGAAAGUUUCGGCGGUUGGGGAUGGACUCGCGGCUUAUCAGCUUGUUGGUGGGGUAGUGGCUUACCAAGGCUUUGACGGGUAGCCGGCCUGAGAGGGUGACCGGCCACAUUGGGACUGAGAUACGGCCCAGACUCCUACGUGAGGCAGCAGUGGGGAAUAUUGCACAAUGGGCGGAAGCCUGAUGCAGCAACGCCGCGUGCGGGAUGACGGCCUUCGGGUUGUAAACCGCUUUCGCCUGUGACGAAGCGUGAGUGACGGUAAUGGGUAAAGAAGCACCGGCUAACUACGUG